AUGUUUAAUUUAAUUGAAAUUGGAAAGAUCUAGCUAGCUAGGUUAGCUAAUGUUAACUAUAUUUCAGUGUGAAAUGUUUCAGCUAGCUUGGUUAGCUAAUGUUAACUACUUUAAGUGUGUUUGCUAGGUUAGCUAAUGUUUAAUUUAUUUGAAAGUGGAAAGAUCUAGCUAGCUAGGUUAGGUAAUGUUAACUACUUUAUUUAAGUGUGUUAGCUAGGCUAGCUGAUGUUUAAUUUAUUUGAAAGUGUUAACUACUCUAUUUAAGUGUGGAUUGUUUUAGCUGGCUAGGUUAGCUAAUGUUUACUUCAUUUCAAAGUGGACAGAUUUAGCUAGUUAGGUUAGCUCAUUUUAACUACUUUAUUUCAGAGUGGAAUUAUUUAGCUAGCUAUGUUAGCUAAUGUUAACCACUUUAUUUCAUAGUGAAAAGAUUUAGCUAGCUACUUUAGGUAAUGUUAACUACUUUAUUUCAGUGUGUAAUGUUUCAGCUAGCUACUUUAGGUAAUUUUAACCGCUUUUUUUCAGUGUGGAAUCUUUUAGCUAGCUAGGUUAGCUCAUUUUAACUACUCUAUUUCAGUGUGGAAUGUUUGAGCUAGCUACUUUAGGU